rnacentral:rRNA from 1 species
AGCGAACGCUGGCGGCAGGCCUAACACAUGCAAGUCGAACGGAUCCUUCGGGAUUAGUGGCGGACGGGUGAGUAACACGUGGGAACGUGCCCUUUGGUUCGGAACAACUCAGGGAAACUUGAGCUAAUACCGGAUGUGCCCUUCGGGGGAAAGAUUUAUCGCCAUUGGAGCGGCCCGCGUCUGAUUAGCUAGUUGGUGAGGUAACGGCCCACCAAGGCGACGAUCAGUAGCUGGUCUGAGAGGAUGAUCAGCCACACUGGGACUGAGACACGGCCCAGACCCCUAGGGGAGGCGGGAGGGGGGAAUGUGGCGAAGGGGGGGAAGGCCGGACGGGGCCAGGCGGGGAAAAUGAGGAGGGUUUGGGAAUAGAAAAUUUUUUUCAGGGGGGACAAUAGUGACGGUCCCCGAAAAGAAAGCCCCGGCUAACUUCGUG